CCAGGGCAGAUUUCUGCAUGUGCCGGGAUUACCUCUGCCGGCGCUGAGCCUGCCGAAAUUGAUUGAAAUUAUGGUAAAAUUAUCCUGAGAGCAAGAUAUCUCAAAGUUGGAUGCACAGCAAAGAGAGCACUGAAGUCUCUCUUCACCACUCAGAAGAGUUGCUUUGUGUUUUCCAAAAGAAGAGAACCAAUACGCGACAGCUUUAAAGCUUUAACAAGUCCAGGCCAACUCAGUCAAUGUACUUCCUUAUAUUUCAACUGUACGGUUUGAAGAAUGUCCUUUCAAGAGAGAGGAUUAUAAUGAUACACCAAGCUGUGAAAUGGAUGUGCCAUCUAAGGUGAGACUUGUUUUGAUU